CCGUUGUGGUGAAAUCCCUGCGGAUGGAGCUGCGACGGGUCGCAGAGAAUCGGUGGCUGCGACUGUUUAACAAAAACACAGCACUGUGCCAACACGAAAGUGGACGUAUACGGUGUGACGCCUGCCCGGUGCCGGAAGGUUAAGUGAUGGGGUGCAAGCUCUUGAUCGAAGCCCCGGUAAACGGCGGCCGUAACUAUAACGGUCCUAAGGUAGCGAAAUUCCUUGUCGGGUAAGUUCCGACCCGCACGAAUGGCGUAACGAUGGCCACACUGUCUCCUCCUGAGACUCAGCGAAGUUGAAAUGUUUGUGAAGAUGCAAUCUACCCGCUGCUAGACGGAAAGACCCCGUGAACCUUUACUGUAGCUUUGCAUUGGACUUUGAACAGACUUGUGUAGGAUAGGUGGGAGGCUAUGAAGUACGGACGCUAGUUCGUAUGGAGCCGUCCUUGAAAUACCACCCUGGUGUGUUUGAGGUUCUAACCUUGGUCCGUCAUCCGGAUCGGGGACAGUGCAUGGUAGGCAGUUUGACUGGGGCGGUCUCCUCCCAAAGUGUAACGGAGGAGUUCGAAGGUCACCUAGGUACGGUCGGAAAUCGUGCUGAUAGUGCAAUGGCAUAAGGUGGCUUAACUGCGAGACCGACAAGUCGAGCAGGUGCGAAAGCAGGACAUAGUGAUCCGGUGGUUCUGAAUGGAAGGGCCAUCGCUCAACGGAUAAAAGGUACUCCGGGGAUAACAGGCUGAUACCGCCCAAGAGUUCACAUCGACGGCGGUGUUUGGCACCUCGAUGUCGGCUCAUCACAUCCUGGGGCUGUAGCCGGUCCCAAGGGUAUGGCUGUUCGCCAUUUAAAGUGGUACGUGAGCUGGGUUCAAAACGUCGUGAGACAGUUUGGUCCCUAUCUGCAGUGGGCGUUGGAAGUUUGACGGGGGCUGCUCCUAGUACGAGAGGACCGGAGUGGACGAACCUCUGGUGUACCGGUUGUGACGCCAGUCGCAUCGCCGGGUA
rnacentral:rRNA from 1 species